rnacentral:rRNA from 1 species
UGAACGCUGGCGGUAGGCCUAACACAUGCACGUCGAACGGCAGCACAGUAAGAGCUUGCUCUUACGGGUGGCGAGUGGCGGACGGGUGAGGAAUACAUCGGAAUCUACUUUUUCGUGGGGGAUAACGUAGGGAAACUUACGCUAAUACCGCAUACGACCUACGGGUGAAAGCAGGGGAUCUUCGGACCUUGCGCGAUUGAAUGAGCCGAUGUCGGAUUAGCUAGUUGGCGGGGUAAAGGCCCACCAAGGCGACGAUCCGUAGCUGGUCUGAGAGGAUGAUCAGCCACACUGGAACUGAGACACGGUCCAGACUCCUACGGGAGGCAGCAGUGGGGAAUAUUGGACAAUGGGCGCAAGCCUGAUCCAGCCAUACCGCGUGGGUGAAGAAGGCCUUCGGGUUGUAAAGCCCUUUUGUUGGGAAAGAAAAGCAGCAGGUUAAUACCCCGCUGUUCUGACGGUACCCAAAGAAUAAGCACCGGCUAACUUCGUG